rnacentral:rRNA from 1 species
AUUGAACGCUGGCGGCAGGCCUAACACAUGCAAGUCGAGCGGAUGAAGGGAGCUUGCUCCUGGAUUCAGCGGCGGACGGGUGAGGAAUGCCUAGGAAUCUGCCUGGUAGUGGGGGAUAACGUCCGGAAACGGGCGCUAAUACCGCAUACGUCCUGAGGGAGAAAGUGGGGGAUCUUCGGACAUCACGCUAUCAGAUGAGCCUAGGUCGGAUUAGCUAGUUGGUGGGGUAAAGGCCUACCAAGGCGACGAUCCGUAACUGGUCUGAGAGGAUGAUCAGUCACACUGGAACUGAGACACGGUCCAGACUCCUACGGGAGGCAGCAGUGGGGAAUAUUGCACAAUGGGCGAAAGCCUGAUCCAGCCAUGCCGCGUGUGUGAAGAAGGUCUUCGGAUUGUAAAGCACUUUAAGUUGGGAGGAAGGGCAGUAAGUUAAUACCUUGCUGUUUUGACGUUACCAACAGAAUAAGCACCGGCUAACUUCGUG